rnacentral:rRNA from 1 species
UGCACGCCAGUGCGAUAAGGGGAUCCCGAGUGCACAGGCAUAGAGCCUGUGCUUUUCUGAACCGUAGGGAGGUUCAGGAACAAGAGCUGGGCAAGACCGGUGCCAGCCGCCGCGGUAAUACCGGCAGCUCGAGUGAUGACCGAUCUUAUUGGGCCUAAAGCGUCCGUAGCUGGCCUUGCAAGUCCGUCGGGAAAUCCACCCGCUCAACGGGUGGGCGUCCGGCGGAAACUGUGAGGCUUGGGACCGGGAGGCUUGAAGGGUACGUCCGGGGUAGGAGUGAAAUCCCGUAAUCCUGGACGGACCGCCGAUGGGGAAACCACUUCAAGAGAACGGAUCCGACAGUGAGGGACGAAAGCUAGGGUCUCGAACCGGAUUAGAUACCCGGGUAGUCCUAGCUGUAAACGAUGCCUGUUAGGUGUGACUCCCACUACGAGUGGGUGUUGUGCCGUAGGGAAGCCGCUAAACAGGCCGCCUGGGAAGUACGUCUGCAAGGAUGAAACUUAAAGGAAUUGGCGGGGGAGCACUACAACCGGAGGAGCCUGCGGUUUAAUUGGACUCAACGCCGGACAUCUCACCAGCAUCGACUGUGGUAAUGACGGUCAGGUUGAUGACCUUACCCGAGCCACAGAGAGGAGGUGCAUGGCCGCCGUCAGCUCGUACCGUGAGGCGUCCUGUUAAGUCAGGCAACGAGCGAGACCCGCAUCCUUACUUGCCAGCAGCACCGCGAGGUGGCUGGGGACAGUAGGGAGACCGCCGUGGCUAACACGGAGGAAGGAACGGGCAACGGUAGGUCAGUAUGCCCCGAAUAUGCUGGGCAACACGCGGGCUACAAUGGUCGAGACAAUGGGUUCCAACGCCGAGAGGCGACGGUAAUCUCAGAAACUCGAUCGUAGUUCGGAUUGUGGACUGAAACUCGUCCACAUGAAGCUGGAUUCGGUAGUAAUCGCG